rnacentral:rRNA from 1 species
UACGGAGGGUGCGAGCGUUAAUCGGAAUUACUGGGCGUAAAGGGUGCGUAGGUGGUAUGGUAAGUUAUCUGUAAAAUCCCUGGGCUCAACCUGGGCAGGUCAGAUAAUACUGCUGUACUCGAGUAUGGGAGAGGGUAGUGGAAUUUCCGGUGUAGCGGUGAAAUGCGUAGAGAUCGGAAGGAACACCAGUGGCGAAGGCGGCUACCUGGCCUAAUACUGACACUGAGGCACGAAAGCGUGGGGAGCAAACAGG